AACGAACGCUGGCGGCAUGCCUAACACAUGCAAGUCGAACGAGACCUUCGGGUCUAGUGGCGCACGGGUGCGUAACGCGUGGGAACCUGCCCUUAGGUUCGGAAUAACUCCCCGAAAGGGGUGCUAAUACCGGAUAAUGUCUUCGGACCAAAGAUUUAUCGCCUUUGGAUGGGCCCGCGUUGGAUUAGCUAGUUGGUAGGGUAAAAGCCUACCAAGGCGACGAUCCAUAGCUGGUCUGAGAGGAUGAUCAGCCACACUGGAACUGAGACACGGCCCAGACUCCUACGGGAGGCAGCAGUAGGGAAUAUUAGACAAUGGGCGAAAGCCUGAUCCAGCAAUGCCGCGUAAGUGAUGAAGGCCUUAGGGUUGUAAAGCUCUUUUACCCGGGAUGAUAAUGACAGUACCGGGAGAAUAAGCUCCGGCUAGCUCCGUG
rnacentral:rRNA from 1 species